AGACAGCAGCAGCCGCGGUAAUGCGUAGGUGGCAAGCGUUGUCCGGAAUUAUUGGGCGUAAAGCGCGCGCAGGUGGUUUAAUAAGUCUGAUGUGAAAGCCCACGGCUCAACCGUGGAGGGUCAUUGGAAACUGUUAAACUUGAGUGCAGGAGAGAAAAGUGGAAUUCCUAGUGUAGCGGUGAAAUGCGUAGAGAUGUGGAGGAGCACCAGUGGCGAAGGCGACUCUCUGGUCUGUAACUGACGCUGAGGAGCGAGAGCGUGGGGAGCGAAUAGGAUUAGAUACCCCCGUAGUCCCUGUCUCUUAUAC
rnacentral:rRNA from 1 species